GACGAACCGUCCUAACGUUGUUCGGAAUCACUGGGCUUAAAGGGCGCGUAGGCGGGCACGCAAGUCUGGGGUGAAAUCUUUCGGCUUAACCGGAAAACAGCCUUGGAAACUGCGUGUCUGGAGGGAGGUAGGGGCAUGUGGAACUUCCGGUGGAGCGGUGAAAUGCGUUGAUAUCGGAAGGAACGCCGGUGGCGAAAGCGACGUGCUGGACCUCUUCUGACGCUGAGGCGCGAAAGCCAGGGGAGCAAACGGG
rnacentral:rRNA from 1 species